CCCGCUGAACUUAAGCAUAUCAAUAAGCGGAGGAAAAGAAACUAACAAGGAUUCCCCUAGUAACUGCGAGUGAAGCGGGAAAAGCUCAAAUUUAAAAUCUGGUGGUCUUUGGCUGCCCGAGUUGUAAUCUAGAGAAGUGUUAUCCGCGCUGGACCGUGUACAAGUCUCCUGGAAUGGAGCGUCAUAGAGGGUGAGAAUCCCGUCUUUGGCACGGACACACCAGGGCUUUGUGAUGCGCUCUCAAAGAGUCGAGUUGUUUGGGAAUGCAGCUCUAAAUGGGUGGUAAAUUCCAUCUAAAGCUAAAUAUUGGCGAGAGACCGAUAGCGAACAAGUACCGUGAGGGAAAGAUGAAAAGAACUUUGGAAAGAGAGUUAAACAGUACGUGAAAUUGUUGAAAGGGAAACGCUUGAAGUCAGUCACGUCGGCCAGGGAUCAACCUUGCUUUUCUGCUUGGUGUACUUUCUGGUUGAUGGGUCAGCAUCAAUUUUGACCAGUGGAGAAAGGUCAGGGGUAUGUGGCAUCUUCGGAUGUGUUAUAGCCCUUGGUUGCAUACAUUGGUUGGGAUUGAGGAACUCAGCACGCCGCAAGGCCGGGUAACUAUUACCACGAUCGUGCUUAGGAUGCUGGCAUAAUGGCUUUAAUCGACCCGUCUUGAAACACGG
rnacentral:rRNA from 1 species